rfam:Enterococcus sp. 9E7_DIV0242 scaffold00001, whole genome shotgun sequence.
GGAGAGUUGUCCGAGUGGCCGAAGGAGCAUGAUUGGAAAUCAUGUAGAUGGCUAACGCUGUCUCAAGGGUUCGAAUCCCUUACUCUCCG